AACAGUGCCUGGUACUCUGGAGGAAGCCCCACAAAUGUUUGUUGAUUCAUACACGCACACAGACACACACUUUUAGUUUAAAGACAUUUGGCAACACAGAUUGUCCCGGUCAUUCUAAAAAAUCGACACCACUUGUAGGAGUAUAAAUUGAUACAAAUUUGCUAAGGAGAAAUUUUACCAUAUAUUAAAAAGAAAAAGAAAAACUUAAGAAAAGUCAUGACCCUUGAUUCAGCAACUCUACUUAUAGGGGCUUAAGAAGAGAUUCAGACAAAUGGUUACUUACAAAAGUAUCUUUGUAGCACUCGUAUAAUAGUGAGAAAAAUAAGGAGGCUUGGUUAAAUAUAUUAUGAAAAAGCCUUAGGAUAAUAGAUCAUUAUAGCAAUUAAAUUGCUGUAGAAAGAGGUGUACAUCUAUUAUUAAAUUGUAAAAGUAGGUAAUAAAGUAGCAUGUUCAGCAUAAUUCCUUAUACAUGGAAAAUCUUUGGAAUUCCAGAAUAUUAAUCAUGGUUAUUUCUGGGUUGCGAGAUUGUAGAUGUCUCAGUUUUCUUGUGCUUAUCUACACAUUUUAAAAUGUCUACAAUAAACCCAUGAAACAGGGUGCUUUAUUUUAUUUUCCAAUAGUGAUAAAAAUUAUUAUAAGCAAUCCAAAAUGGAUUUCCUAAGGACUCGCAACUACAGCACGUCUUAAAGUGCCUUAAAGUCGAAAAAGUAAACUUUGCAAGUGAAUUAGAAUCACAAAAUGGUCUGAAUAUUUUCUCUAAUUCUGUUACCCAACAUUUAUCUCAAGCAGAGCAACAUUUCUCUCUGGGCUCCAAAAGAGAUCUGUAGAAUCACCACCGUUGGCCGACAGAAAUUAUUACUACAAAUAAUAAUUCAGUUGACAAUAAAAACCCUGGGAGGUAUAUAUAAAGCCACAAUGCACCGCCGUCCUCGAGUGGAAUCUACAGAUGUCGGAGGCAUGUGAAAAGGUCCUCUUUCAAAGUCAAAUCAAAUCAAUGGUAUUAACACCACUACAGUACAGGACCCACUGAACUAAACUCUGAGGAAACACAAAACUUGUGGCCACUGUCCUUGCUCCCCAGUGACUCUACAGAAGCAACAGAGCAAAUUUGGGUCAGGAGAGCUGUUUGGAGCCAGUAGGAAGGAUGGUCUUAGAGGUGAGGAGUGGGGUUGCAGGUGGUACGGGUUACUCCCUUCGUCAGAGCCUGGGGUUGCAAAAACGUCAUCCGACAGCUGAAUCAGCCCUGCAGGCAUUUAAGCACUUAGAGUGCUUAAAAAUAAAAGUUUGAAAUCUUAUUUAGUUGUUUCCAGACAUAGCACUUAGCAGCUAGUCUAAUUCACAAAGUUAACUUAUGGGCUCCUGCAGGUACAGUUUUUGAUCCUUGCAUCUGAGCGAUUUCUGGACCUGACUCGAAAUUAGCCAGCAUUUGUCAAACUGAAAAUACAGAGAACACUGCUUUUUAAUGACCAACAUGAAAGUGUCCUGCUGCUUGAUUUUAAUAAUGGGAACUUCUGCAAUUCUCAGGAAAUAGCUACUAGAUAGGAUUUCCUCCCAGGCCGCUUUCUUAAAGCUUUGUCCUGCUGCUGUUUAUCUGCCAGGGAUUAAAAAAAAAACAAACAGCAGCAAGCCAGUCUUAAGGAAAAACAACAAACAAAACAAAGUUAGAGUCUAUUGCACUGGGAAAAUAGGUGUAGAUGAGCUUCUGCAGGACCUCGAUUGCCAGGAUAUCGAAUUUUGACUUUAUCCUGAAGAUCAUCAGGAGUCCUUGACAGGAGAUAGAGUAGAAAUUUAAAAGCAGCCUCUAAAUUUCAGAAACGGAACCCAUUGAUAAGAGUCCAUUUUAAAGAGGAAUCUUCAGGUUUGGGGCAUGAGGUCAUGCCUGUCACACAAUUUCUACCACUCUCCAGAGUAAUCAUGGGUGAUUUGGCACCUCCGGCUAAUAGGUGUGUCAUAUCAGAGACUGCCACAGACACCCGGGGCAAUGAGAUUCGUCACUUAAAGAAGGAGGCUGCGGGAGAGCGCCCCAUCCACCGCUGCUGAGUCAUCCCACUCUGUUAGCUAUUUAAACAAGCCUCCAGCAGACACACAAUCAACACUGCACUCCGACAAUGUCCAGACCUCCAGAAAUCAUGGGUCCAGCUUGGAUUGCCCAAGACAAGUACAAUCUUCAAAACAGUCUCUCUCCUCUUUUCCCCAUAUUGUCACACUAGGGGUUCUGACCUCUGGCUCUUUUACUAGAAAUGAGACUAUCCAGCCAGUCCUCCUAUGGGACCUUGGCCCCAGAGGUCACCAAUUCCUGUUUCAAGUUUUCCCACGGUCUUUCUGACUUGACUCUUGUAUUUCUUUCAUGCCAGCAAACAGUGGUGGAGCACCUGUUGUGGGUUCGGCACUGAGCUACAGGUAAGAGUUGGUUAAAGGAUAAACAAGACACAUUCCUUGCCUUUGGCAGCUCACAGUCCAGUGGAAGAGACAGUCACGUAACCAGGCAACCACAAUAUACGAAGUGAUGGUUCUAAGACAGGUGCUGCUGAUGAAAGUGCUACAGGAGUUGGUCUGACGUCUUUGGGAAGGACAAGACAGCAUGCCCACGGAGUUACCAUGUCCCAGUGCUGUUCUUUCCUCCUGAUGGAAAGCCUGAAACAAUUUACAGCAUUGCCAGCAGCAUUCAGUACAUUCAGAACAGGAUCAUUUCACCCACAGCUGAACGAGGGCCACGCUUGGGACAGCACCGAGAACAGCUUUCCAGCAGACACGCCGGGGAGUAAGCCAGGGGUAUGUAUUCCGGAUGACCACUCUCAAGAUCUGAAUGUACACUGGUUCUGUUUUUCCUGAGGGCAACGUGGGCAGUCUGUAGGGUGGCAUUAACCAGAUGAGGCUUCAAGAGCACCCUUUCAUCAGGGACGCAACAGUAGAGUUGUAUUCAUUCAUUCGACAUAUUUUUGGAGCAUGUGCUUAUUGCCAUGUACUGUGCUGGGUAGGUGCGGAGCAUCCAGUGACAAGACUGUACGGCUCCUUACUCCACGGGGCUGGUGUUCUCCACUGUACGGAAAUUCCGCUCUCCCCUCUCAAGGCACAGGUUGUGCUUUGUACACCAUUAAAAGGAACAUCAACUAAAGGAAAACUGUUGUUUCCUCUCUACCCACAGAACACUUCUGACACCAGAUGUGUGGGGGUUUCUACACCAAGCAAUUCUCCAGUUCUCAGUGAACACUGACUGCGUAUUCUACAGUUUCACUCCAUUCCAAACCCAACUGCCCAGGGUUAGCACAGACCCCUCAGGUUAAGGGCUCAGUCUCACAGGAUUUCCCCAGACUUCAGAUGCUAAUUAUAAGACCCCAAUUGUCACCUAUAUUUCUGACCAACUGGCUAUAAAUUGAGCUCUCCCAUGACCCCCUCCUCAGGUUUGAUAAUUUGCUAGAAAGGCACACAGCACUCAGAAAAACACUUUACUUACAUUUACUGGUUUAUUGUAAAGGAUACAACUCAAGAACAGCCAGAUGGAAGUGACACAUAGGGCAAGGUUUGGGGGUGGGGGCAGGGAUUGGAGCCUCCCUCCCAGCACCUCAGUACGUUCGCUGCUCUGGAAGCUCUCCAGGCUCCAUAGUUCAGGGGUUUUAUGGAGACUCCGCUAUGCAGGCAUGAUUGACUAAACCACUGACCUAUAGUGAUUAAGCCCAUCUCCUGCCCCUCUCCCCUCCCUGGAGGUCAGGGGUGAGUCUGGAAGCUCCAACACUCUAAUUACAUGCUUGGAUCCUCUGGCAACCAGCGUCCGUCCUCCAAGAGUUGCCUCAUUAGCAUAAACUCUAGUAUGGUUAAAAGGGGCUUAUUAUGAAUAACAAGAGAUGCUCCUGUCACCCCUUUGUUCAAGAAAUUCCAAGGGUUUUAGGAGCUCUGUGCCAAGAACCAAGGAGGAAGACCAAAAUAUAUAUUUCUUAUUAUAUCACAACCAUGCAGUCUCAGCAUCCAGCGCUGGGCCUUGCAAAAAGCAGCCCCUCCAUACCUUUGUGAGUAGACACAGGAAAGCAGAAUGAAGGAAAGAGGGGUCAGCAACAAAAAAACAAACAACCCGGUUCAACAGUGGGCAGAGCAUCUGAACAGACAUCUUCCCAAAGAAGACAUACAGAUGGCCAACAGGCACCUGAAAAGA